GUGCCAGCCGCCGCGGUAAUACGUAGGGGGCAAGCGUUAUCCGGAAUCACUGGGUGUAAAGGGUGCGUAGGCGGUAGGGCAAGUCAGAUGUGAAAGCCCGGGGCUCAACUCCGGGAUUGCAUUUGAAACUGUCUUACUAGAGUGCAGGAGAGGAAAGCGGAAUUCCUAGUGUAGCGGUGAAAUGCGUAGAUAUUAGGAAGAACACCAGUGGCGAAGGCGGCUUUCUGGACUGUAACUGACGCUGAGGCACGAAAGCGUGGGGAGCGAACAGGAUUAGAUACCCUGGUAGUCCACGCCGUAAACGAUGAGUGCUAGGUGUCGGGGCCGUGAGUCCCGGUGCUGAAGUCAACGCAUUAAGCACUCCACCUGGGGAGUACGUUCGCAAGAAUGAAACUCAAAGAAAUUGACGG
rnacentral:rRNA from 1 species